UACGGAGGGUGCAAGCGUUGCUCGGAAUUAUUGGGCGUAAAGGGUAGGUAGGUGGUCUUAUUUGUCUGGGGUGAAAGCCUUGAGCUUAACUCAAGAAGUGCCCCAGAAACGGUAAGACUAGAGUCUUGGAGAGGGUCGUGGAAUUCCCGGUGUAGCGGUGAAAUGCGUAGAGAUCGGGAGGAACACCAGAGGCGAAGGCGGCGACCUGGACAAGUACUGACACUCAACUACGAAAGCGUGGGGAGCAAACAGG
rnacentral:rRNA from 1 species